CAAUAGCGUAUAUUAAAGUUGUUGCAGUUAAAAAGCUCGUAGUUGGAUUUCUGGCAGGAGCGACCGGUCCGCCGCAAGGUGUGCACUAGGUUGUCUCCAGUCAUCUUUGUGGGAACUGCUCUGGCAUUAGGUUGUCGGGGUUAGGGAACACAUCGUUUACUGUGAAAAAUUAGAGUGUUUAAAGCAGGCUUAUGCCGUUGAAUACAUUAGCAUGGAAUAAUAGAAUAGGACUUUGGUUCUAUUUUGUUGGUUUCUAGGACCGAGGUAAUGAUUAAUAGGGACAGUUGGGGGCAUUAGUAUUUAAUUGUCAGAGGUGAAAUUCUUGGAUUUAUGAAAGACUAACUACUGCGAAAGCAUUUGCCAAGGAUGUUUUCAUUAAUCAAGAACGAAAGUUAGGGGAUCGAAGACGAUUAGAUACCAU
rnacentral:rRNA from 1 species